AGUGGGGAAUAUUGSACAAUGGGCGMAAGCCUGAUCCAGCCAUGCCGCGUGUGUGAAGAAGGUCUUCGGAUUGUAAAGCACUUCAAGUUGGGAGGAAGGGUUGUAGAUUAAUACUCUGCAAUUUUGACGUUACCGACAGAAUAAGCACCGGCUAACUCUGUGCCAGCAGCCGCGGUAAUACAGAGGGUGCAAGCGUUAAUCGGAAUUACUGGGCGUAAAGCGCGCGYAGGUGGUUUGUUAAGUYGGAUGUGAAAUCCCCGGGCUCAACCUGGGAACUGCAUUCAAAACUGACWGACUAGAGUAUGGUAGAGGGUGGUGGAAUUUCCUGUGUAGCGGUGAAAUGCGUAGAUAUAGGAAGGAACACCAGUGGCGAAGGCGACCACCUGACWAAUACUGACACUSAGGGCGAAGC
rnacentral:rRNA from 1 species